GAUGAACGCUGGCGGCGUGCCUAAUACAUGCAAGUCGAGCGAACAGACGAGGAGCUUGCUCCUCUGACGUUAGCGGCGGACGGGUGAGUAACACGUGGAUAACCUACCUAUAAGACUGGGAUAACUUCGGGAAACCGGAGCUAAUACCGGAUAACAUGGUGAACCGCAUGGUUCAACAGUGAAAGACGGUCUUGCUGUCACUUAUAGAUGGAUCCGCGCCGCAUUAGCUAGUUGGUAAGGUAACGGCUUACCAAGGAAACGAUGCGUAGCCGACCUGAGAGGGUGAUCGGCCACACUGGAACUGAGACACGGUCCAGACUCCUACGGGAGGCAGCAGUAGGGAAUCUUCCGCAAUGGGCGAAAGCCUGACGGAGCAACGCCGCGUGAGUGAAGAAGGUCUUCGGAUCGUAAACCUCUGUUAUUAGGGAAGAACAAAUGUGUAAGUAACUAUGCACGUCUUGACGGUACCUAAUCAGAAAGCCACGGCUAACUACGUG
rnacentral:rRNA from 1 species